GUCCACGCAGCCCUCCAACUCUAGGCUCUCGGUGAGAUACGGGGAGACCGGAGGAGUCAGGGACCCGGAAAACUCUUCACUCAUGAUGACCGCUCGCCUGUGGAGCAGACUGCUACAGAUGUAAAGAUGAAAACAUCAUGCAGUGGCUAACAGCUGUUUCUGAAUUAACACUACAGAAAAUGGAAAAAAACUCACAAUGUGAAGGAAAAUGCUGUAUCUUUAUCGUGGCACACAUAGAUUUUGUUCAGGAAAUGAACAUGCACAGUGUUGGACUAACUGAUGACCUAAGAAAUCACAUGAGAUAAAUAUUCUUCUCUCACAUUACUGUUUUUAAGGGAGUGCAGAUUACAAUAUGAGGGUUGCACACCAACAAACUUAAAGUUAGAGCCCGUAAACACCUAUCGGACACUCAACAUUUUUGUCCACAAAAUACCUCUAUGGUCACACAACAUUGUGCUCAGAAACAUGAAGGCAGCUAUUCAACCAUGUUUUUACAGCGAAUUGAAAAGGGUUACUCCACCUACCAGAGGAGGCAACUACAAACAGAAAAUACUAGCUAGAAAAGUCUUCUGGAUAAUUGAGCUUGGCACCCGCUUUCCGAGGGGACUUAACAGAAGACUAGAUGUUAUAUUACAUUAUUGAGGUUAUUAUAUGUGCUCUCUCUAUAUGCUGCUUUCAUGUAAUCUACUGAUGUUAUUUGUUGGAAUUAGGGUUUUCUCCCUGCAUACAUACAUAGUUUAGUUUUGUGUAAUUAUUGUAAUCUUGCAACUUUGUAUGUAUAUUUUUCCAUGUUCUAUUGUCCUUUGGAGGGAGAUAUUUAGCAUAGUAUGCUUAUUUAUAUUUAUUGAUUUUUGAUAUUUAUUUUAUUUUUAUUUAUACAUUUAUGUUAUAUAUGCAUUUAUAUACUAAUGAUUACUAUCACAUUUAUUAUUACUCUCCCUCCAAUGAACACAAUAUCUCAUAGCCAAAUUGUCUUGUGAUUAUAUACUCACUAGGCAAAACAUAUGCUCAAUGGUUUAUUUUGCUUUAUUUAAUGUUGUCAUUUUCAAAUGUAAAAUUUUUUCUGAUUUAAUACUAUUUUAGCAUGUGUUUGUAUUAGCAUUUGAGCUAUGAGAGACUGAUCUUGGUGGAUGGUCACCUUGGACAUGUGACCCUGGCAUUUCCAGGUGAACCUGUCCAUCAAUUAAUUGGAUUUCCACCCAUAUAAGACCAGUUGGUCUCUGUUUUUAGUAGUAUGAGUAAGGCUAGGCUACCUGGCUGAAACGUGUUACUUUUAUCCUGUA